rnacentral:rRNA from 1 species
UGCGUAGGCGGGCUAAUUAGUCAGUGGUGAAGACCUGCAGCUUAACUGUAGACUUGCCAUUGAUACUGUUAGUCUUGAGUACGGUCAAGGUAGGCGGAAUGUGUAAUGUAGCGGUGAAAUGCUUAGAUAUUACACAGAACACCGAUUGCGAAGGCAGCUUACUGGGCCAUUACUGACGCUGAGGCACGAAAGCGUGGGGAGCGAACAGGAUUAGAUACCCUGGUAGUCC